CGAGCUACCUCCCCCACUUAACCAACCUUCUUCCUGGUCAGACACCCACCUCUCUCCCUCUCUCCCAUGUUCCUCCCGCUCCACCCCCGACCUCCACCGGAUCCGACCUCCACCUACCCGUGGCCCCUGCAACCCACCGCCCCCACCCCACCCUAUCCAACUACCUUCAUCAGUACCGCCGGACUCGAUGCGUGCCCCAUGCCGCCCCGGAUCCUACCGACCGUCGCCGACAUCUCUGCUCCACUCCGGCGCCCAACGCCCAGUCCGCCGCGCCCGGGAAUGGAUCCGGCCAGCUCCGCCUUUGGCGCUCCUCCGGCGACCACGGUGCUCUCUCGACGCCUGACUUCCUUACCGUGCGCCGCCCCUUCUAGCACCUGAUGCCUGGCCAUGGGUCCUCUCUUUACCAAGCUCUCACUGUUUCCUACCUUGCUGGCCCCGGACCACCGUGAAGCUCUCUCGGGCGGAUCCAUCAGCUACUGAAUCCGGCGCCGGCGAGUGGAUGGGCCGCCUCCCCCGCACCACCCCAGCCGGAUCCGGCCGGCUGCCCCGGCGCCCACUUCCCCUUCUCCUCCCUCGCGAGCAAACCCCCUCCGCGGAUCCAUCGGCCGCCGAAUCCCGCGCCUGCUGGCUGCCACGGCCCCACACCGCCAGAUCCCGUCGAGCAGCCAACCUGUGUGGUGGCGGGCGUGGCGGCCACAGGAGGUUGAUGUGGUGCCCGUUGGUGAGCAGGACGUCGCCCUACUCCGUCCGCUAGAGGGGAGCAGUGCAGUUCGGAUGACAAUGAUAAAGGCAGCUCCGGGACUGGCAGGUGGCCAAUUCCGGCAGCCGGCAUCCUGGGUGAGGCACUAGACAGCAGGGCAGUGCGGGCGGCAACGCCGUGCAGUUUGCGAUGCGCCCACGGUGGCGAUGCUGUGUAGCUGGCCAUGCUGACAUUUGCAGCUCGCUGGAGGGACAGAGGAGGUGCAUCGUGUGGUUUUGUAGUUCAGUGGGUGGGAGUUUCAGUGCGUAUUGUUUUCUCUUCUCCUGAAAUUGAAAUUUCGGACGCCCCCCAAUCUCACCUCAUGGCACUUUCAGUAUAAUGCAUUUCUGAAGUUGGAGAGGGAGUCAACUGCAUAGCUGCUCUUGUGAGGUAGUGGAAUUGGUCUUACAGUUUACUUUGAGGAAAAAAAAUCGAAGUACAGUGCCGACCGAAGAGGAUAAGGAACAUGUGGUGCAUAGAAGACUUUUUAGUAUUCUAAUGCUUAUGCACUGUUUUGUUGUUUAGUGCAAAAUUAGCCAUCAAUAUGGAUAAGGUUGUUGGGCUAAUCAAUAUGUGGUUUAUGUGGAUGGUUGGACACGGUGUCUUGUGGUCAACUGGCUUGGGGUUUGCAGUGUAGUCUCCCGUGGGUUUUGAGUCCGAAGAAAACUGCAUGUUUGGUGAUUUCUCUUCUGUAGCUCCAAAGAAAACCACGAGGGGUACACUUUUUUUUAUGCAAUUCACUUGUAUUAUGUAUAAGCUCACUUUCGAAAAAAAUUAUAUAUAUUGGGCAGCGUGGUGUGCAGCUUGUUGCAGCUCAGCGUGCAGCUCGUCGUGGCUUGGAUUGCAGCUCGGUAUGCUGCGGCGUGCAGUCCGCUCGCGUGGGCGCACCGUUCGCGGUGCAACUCGUCGUGCGCCCAUAGCAUGCAGUACGGACGGUGAGACAGUGCCAUUUGUCGUGUUCAUCCUGCUGCAGUGGAGUUCAAAAUGUGCAACUCUAUUCAAAUUACACUAACACCUUUAUUAAAUGUGUAGUUUGACAGGGAUAUAAUACCAUUUGGGAGUUUUUUUUUUCUGUUUUCAGAUUUUGCCGCUGCAAUGCACGUGUGCACUUCAACUUAUCUUUGUCUCCAAUGCGGUUCAUUACAUUUUGGUUGUGUGUGCACAAUAUUUACAGUAUUGUUUGCUGCUGGGUUGCUCUGAUGCAUUACACACCCGUGGUUCAGUUAACUAUAUUUUACAGGAGAAACAAACACACCAAUGCUGUUUUGUUGUGCAGUGUGAUGC
rnacentral:rRNA from 1 species